rnacentral:rRNA from 1 species
CCUACGGGGGGCUGCAGUGAGGAAUAUUGGUCAAUGGGCGCAAGCCUGAACCAGCCAUGCCGCGUGAAGGAUGACAGCGCUAUGCGUUGUAAACUUCUUUUGUACAGGAAGAAACACUUCUACGUGUAGAAGUCUGACGAUAUUGUACGAAUAAGCAUCGGCUAACUCCGUGCCAGCAGCCGCGGUAAUACGGAGGAUGCAAGCGUUAUCCGGAUUUAUUGGGUUUAAAGGGUACGUAGGCGGAAAAUUAAGUCAGUAGUGAAAUCCUGCAGCUUAACUGUAGAACUGUUAUUGAUACUGGUUUUCUUGAAUAUAGUUGAGGUAGGCGGAAUGUGUAAUGUAGCGGUGAAAUGCUUAGAUAUUACACAGAACACCGAUUGCGAAGGCAGCUUACUAAGCUAUGAUUGACGCUGAGGUACGAAAGCGUGGGGAGCGAACAGGAUUAGAUACCCUUGUAGUC